rnacentral:lncRNA from 1 species
CAGCGGAGGGGAGUAGCCUAAGGCCACGAGGCUCACCAGCAAGGAAGGGUUGGCGACGAGAAGGGGGCACAACAGGGAACAAUGGAUGGUGGCUGAGGGUUGGACGGGCAUUGCCGGGGAGAGCCUGCACGGUGAGGGAGGAUGGCGAGUAUGGUGCAAAACGGAUGCGUGGGGUUGUGAGGAAGCUCCAGCUGCAAGGAAUUGGCUGGAGACUCACC